AUUGAACGCUGGCGGCAUGCCUUACACAUGCAAGUCGAACGGCAGCGGGCCCUUCGGGGUUCCUGCGACUGUCGAACGGGUGAGUAAUGCAUCGGAACGUACCCCGGAGAGGGGGAUAACCGGCCGAAAGGCUGGCUAAUACCGCAUGAUCUCGGAAGAGCAAAGCUGGUGACCUUCUGGCCUCGCGCUCUCGCAGCGGUCGAUGUCCGGUUAGGCUAGUUGUUGGGGUGAAGGUCCUACAAGGCGACGUCCGGUCGCGGGAAUGAGGGGACGAUUAGCCACACUGGGAGUGAGACACGGCACAGAGUCCUUGGGGAGGCGGCAGUGGGGAAACUUGGACAAAGGGCGCAAGCCUGAGCCAGCAAGGCCGCGUGGGUGAAGAAGGCCUCCGGGUUGGAAAGGCCUGUCGGCGGGGAAGAAAUCGGUCAGGCGAAUAGACUGGCCAGAGGAAGGUACCCGCAGGAGAAGGCGCGGCUAACUACGUG
rnacentral:rRNA from 1 species